rnacentral:rRNA from 1 species
AUACGGAGGGGGUUAGCGUUGUUCGGAAUUACUGGGCGUAAAGCGCACGUAGGCGGAUUGGAAAGUUGGGGGUGAAAUCCCAGGGCUCAACCCUGGAACUGCCUCCAAAACUAACAGUCUAGAGUUUGAGAGAGGUGAGUGGAAUUCCAAGUGUAGAGGUGAAAUUCGUAGAUAUUUGGAGGAACACCAGUGGCGAAGGCGGCUCACUGGCUCGAUACUGACGCUGAGGUGCGAAAGCGUGGGGAGCAAACAGGAUUAGAUACCCUAGUAGUCC